UAUAUUAACUGAAUCAAAUUACCAUGGGCGUUAAGUGAUUGUAAAGUGAUAGAAAUUUUGAUGCUUGGACCAGAGAUUAGUAGUAAUCUACUAAUCUCUGCUUGGACCAAACAAAAUAGUGGCUAUGACUUUCGCAAGUUUCCUCAAGUUUCUCCUGGUCUUUCAAUUAUUCCUUCAAAUAAGCCUCUCGACCGAGCCAGGCGAGUUAUCCGUUGCAAAACCGAGAUGGUACCAUCUUCGUUGUGUUGAAUGUUACCGGCCAGAUACCAAGGGACAAGCAUGUGUGAAGAUACCAAAGUGCAUCAAAGCUCCUAAAAAGAAAUUAAUAAAUCCGUUUCACCACUGGGCGUCUUAAGCUACAGAGUACAGAAGUGUGUACAUAUUUAGCGGCUCUCAGAUGCAAUUAGUUCUCACUUCCGGCGCGCGAUUCUCCUUUAACAAUUUGCAAAAAACCCGCCCAGAACUUUAAUACAACCUUAUUAUUCUUAA